GUCAGCAGCCUCGACAAACCGGAGUGUGCCGCGUGGCAAAGCGCGCUGACGUCGGUGCCACGCGGAAUGCCAUACUAGGGAUCCGCAUGUCCUGCGAUCAGACGGCCCAAGAUCGAUUCCGUGCACGUGGACGACCUGGAUUUGUCUCCUCUAUAGGCGCGAUCGGACGACUGAGACUAAUCACGAUGAAUGGUCCAGAUUUAUUUCCUCCUUAGGUGUUAUCGAACGAACGAGAUCGAUCGCGAUAGACAGUCCAGAUCAACACGC
rnacentral:lncRNA from 1 species